rnacentral:rRNA from 1 species
UAAAAGUCGUAACAAGGUUUCCGUAGGUGAACCUGCGGAAGGAUCAUUAAAGAGUAAGGGUGCUCAGCGCCCGACCUCCAACCCUUUGUUGUUAAAACUACCUUGUUGCUUUGGCGGGACCGCUCGGUCUCGAGCCGCUGGGGAUUCGUCCCAGGCGAGCGCCCGCCAGAGUUAAACCAAACUCUUGUUAUUAAACCGGUCGUCUGAGUUAAAAUUUUGAAUAAAUCAAAACUUUCAACAACGGAUCUCUUGGUUCUCGCAUCGAUGAAGAACGCAGCGAAAUGCGAUAAGUAAUGUGAAUUGCAGAAUUCAGUGAAUCAUCGAAUCUUUGAACGCACAUUGCGCCCCUUGGUAUUCCGAGGGGCAUGCCUGUUCGAGCGUCAUUACACCACUCAAGCUAUGCUUGGUAUUGGGUGCCGUCCUUAGUUGGGCGCGCCUUAAAGACCUCGGCGAGGCCUCACCGGCUUUAGGCGUAGUAGAAUUUAUUCGAACGUCUGUCAAAGGAGAGGACUUCUGCCGACUGAAACCUUUAUUUUUCUAGGUUGACCUCGGAUCAGGUAGGGAUACCCGCUGAACUUAAGCAUAUCA